GAAUUUCAACAUUCUCAGGGAAGAACAAUAGUUAAAAGAGGUAGUGAUUGAAGUUUUCAUACAAAUCAGAAGAGAUUUUAUUAAACACUUCAAAUUUACUUUUCUAAAACCUAAAAAUUGGUUUAAAAUGUUCAUCCCAACCCAACACAUGAAUUUUUUUCAAAACAACUUAAUUUUUAAUUUAAUCCCUUGAAAAAGUAUUCCAAACACA
rnacentral:lncRNA from 1 species